rnacentral:lncRNA from 1 species
UCCUUUUUUCCUUUUUUUGCUAUAGCAAUUUCCAUAUCUUUUUUUAAGUAUAAGUAAUGAGCCUAUCCUCUAUCUUAUUUUUUAUGUUUAUAUUUCAAUAUACCGAAACCUAUAUAAGACUAGAUAAAUAUUAAGAGGACUCUUCCGCCUAGAUAAAAAUAUAUCAUGGUCAGCAAAGUUGUUUCUUUAUUUAUAUUUGCCCUUUAGUUAAUAAUUUCAAUUUCAUUAAGAAAAACUAACUAAAUAAAUGGAAAAUGAAAAUUAAUAGAAUUCUUUUUUUUUUUCUUCAAAUCCAAAAAAUUUCUCUUUUUUAUACAUAGGUCGUCGAUUCGGCAUUGGUUAAAAAAGGGCAGGGUGCCCCUUCUUUUUUUUUCUAGUAAAUAGUUCAAACCAUUUUAUCGAUAUGAGUGUUCUAUAUCAGAUAAAUUUUACAUUAGCUAUUUCCCGUUUAAAUUCGG